GACAGAGGGUGCAAACGUUGUUCGGAAUUACUGGGCGUAAAGCGCGUGUAGGCGGCUUGGCAAGUCGGGUGUGAAAGCCCUGGGCUCAACCUAGGAAGUGCACUCGAAACUGCCUCGCUGGAGUGCCGGAGAGGAAAGCGGAAUUCUCGGUGUAGAGGUGAAAUUCGUAGAUAUCGAGAGGAACACCGGUGGCGAAGGCGGCUUUCUGGACGGUUACUGACGCUGAGACGCGAAAGCGUGGGGAGCAAACAGG
rnacentral:rRNA from 2 species